rnacentral:rRNA from 1 species
AUAACUAAGCGGAGGAAGAGAAACUAACCAGGAUUCCCCCAGUAACGGCGAGUGAAGCGGGAAGAGCUCACAUUGUAAAUUUGUCACAAUGGUGACAGAAUUGUAGUCUGAAGAGGCGAGACCAGCGGAUGAGAUGGCUAAGUCUCUUGGAAAAGAGCAUCAGGGAGGGUGACAAUCCCGUCCGGCUUUUGUACGACCAAGGCGUACGGUCCGCUUUCUACGAGUCGAGUUGCUUGGGAUUGCAGCUCAAAGUGGGUGGUAAAUUCCAUCUAAAGCUAAACACGCGGGGGAGACCGAUAGCGAACAAGUACCGUGAGGAAAAGAUGCAAAGAACUUUGAAAAGAGAGUUAAAGAGUGCCUGAAAUGGCUGAAAGGGAAGCGAAGGAAAAUCAGUGUCUGGCGUUUCCGCUUCUCCUUCGUUCCUCGGAACGUUGGAUCGCGUUUCCGUCGUGGCCAGGGCUGGGUAUUGUCGCGGGAGCCUGCGUAAUGGGAGGUACGUCUCUUCGGAGAGGGAAUGCCAUGACGUUUUGUCGCGAUGUUGGCUGGUUCUGACGAAAUGGUUUUCUUCACCCC